UACGUAGGUGACGAGCGUUAUCCGGAUUUACUGGGCGUAAAGAGCGCGCAGGCGGUCGAUCAAGUCGCGUGUGAAAGCCCCCGGCUCAACUGGGGAGGGUCGACGCGAUACUGAUCGACUCGAAGGCAGGAGAGGGUAGUGGAAUUCCCGGUGUAGUGGUGAAAUGCGUAGAUAUCGGGAGGAACACCAGUGGCGAAGGCGACU
rnacentral:rRNA from 1 species